rnacentral:rRNA from 1 species
UACGAAGGGGGCUAGCGUUGCUCGGAAUCACUGGGCGUAAAGGGCGCGUAGGUGGCCUGUUAAGUCGAACGUGAAAUCCCCGGGCUCAACCCGGGAACUGCGUCCGAGACUGGCAGGCUCGAAUCCGGGAGAGGGAUGUGGAAUUCCAGGUGUAGCGGUGAAAUGCGUAGAUAUCUGGAGGAACACCGGUGGCGAAGGCGGCAUCCUGGACCGGUAUUGACGCUGAGGCGCGAAAGCCAGGGGAGCAAAGCAGG